rnacentral:lncRNA from 1 species
CAUGAUACACUCACAUAUUCUUAGGAUGUGUGUGUCAUGGGCAGCCAACAGGCUGCCAGGGGCUGACAGGCCUGAUAGUUCGGCCCAGUUAUCUUUAUAAGUUUAAUUAUCUUUGUAUUUGCAAUUUAUAUUAGUCCUAAAUAGGUUAUUAAGCAAAAGAGAUAAAGUAGAAGGGACAUAAAUAUCUGUAGUCUCUAUUGAUAUAAUCAAGCAAUGAAUUAUGAAGAAACAAUUCUAGUCUCUCUUAAUCUCUCAAGCUCUUGGCAAAGCAUAGCAUAAGGCCUAGUUAUCCCAAAAUACCCCCUCAAUCUCUCAAGCUCUUGGCAAAGCAUAGGCCUAGUUAUCUAUCCAAAAUACCCAUCCCCAUUACAUCUGGUAUCUAAAGUCCAGCGAUCCUCUUCCAUCAGCCGGAUCCUCCAGCACCUCCGAUCCUCCAUUAGCCGGAUCCUCCAUCACCUCGGGUCCUCCAUCAGCCGUUUCAAAAAAAAACAAACAAAUAUUGAUCCAGAUCGUCGCGUCGCCUACCUCAUCCAUCGUGCCGCGCCGCCACAGCAACGCCACC